UACGUAGGGGCAAGCGUUGUCCGGAAUCAUUGGGCGUAAAGAGCGUGUAGGCGGCCAGAUAAGUCCGCUGUGAAAUCUCGAGGCUCAACUUCGAGCUGUCGGUGGAAACUGUCUGGCUAGAGUCCGGAAGAGGAGAAUGGAAUUCCUGGUGUAGCGGUGAAAUGCGCAGAUAUCAGGAAGAACACCCGUGGCGAAGGCGGUUCUCUGGGACGGUACUGACGCUGAGACGCGAAAGCCAGGGGAGCAAACGGG
rnacentral:rRNA from 1 species